CAGAGCUGGAGGCAGCACUCUGGUGCCUGGCACUGAAGAAAGAAUAUCUCCAGGUAUAGCUGCUGCUCUGGUAACACCAGGAGGUUCAUGACACCGAUCAAAGUAUGACUGCCAAACUGAAGGAUACCAGGUCCAGCUUUCCAGCUCAGGUCCCAAAAGUCUGUCCCUAACUGCCAAGACAAAUGUGCGGUUGCCUACACCAAGAAUUGAGAGACUGUGACAAAGCACCACCACUGAUGAAGCC